rnacentral:rRNA from 1 species
GACAGAGGGGGCAAGCGUUGCUCGGAAUUACUGGGCGUAAAGCGUGCGCAGGCGGUUUUGUAAGCCAGAUGUGAAAGCCCCGGGCUUAACCUGGGAAUGGCAUUUGGGACUGCAAGGCUGGAGUGCGGCAGAGGAGACUGGAAUUCCCGGUGUAGCAGUGAAAUGCGUAGAUAUCGGGAGGAACACCGGUGGCGAAGGCGGUUCUCUGGGCCUGUACUGACGCUGAGGAGCGAAAGCGUGGGGAGCGAACAGG